UGGUUGAUCCUGCCAGUAGUCAUAUGCUUGUCUCAAAGAUUAAGCCAUGCAUGUCUAAGUACACACUUUGGUAAAGUGAAACCGCGAAUGGCUCAUUAAAUCAGCUACAAUUUAUUAGAUCGUACACUGUUACUUGGAUAACUGUGGGAAUUCUAGAGCUAAUACAUGCCGAGAGUCUCUGCUCUUCGGGGCAGAGCGCAGUUAUUAGACCAAAACCAGCCGUAUUCUUCGGGGUACGCUCUUUUGGUGACUCUGGAUAACCUUCAGCCGAUCGCAUGGCCUCGUGCCGGCGACGUAUCUUUCAAGUGUCUGCCCUAUCAACUUUCGAUGGUACGUGAUAUGCCUACCAUGGUGAUAACGGGUAACGGGGAAUCAGGGUUCGAUUCCGGAGAGGGAGCCUGAGAAAUGGCUACCACAUCCAAGGAUGGCAGCAGGCGCGCAAAUUACCCACUCCCAGCUUGGGGAGGUAGUGACGAAAAAUAACAAUGCGGGACUCUAAGAGGCCCCGUAAUUGGAAUGAGUACACCUUAAAUCGUUUAACGAGUAUCAAUUGGAGGGCAAGUCUGGUGCCAGCAGCCGCGGUAAUUCCAGCUCCAAUAGCGUAUAUUAAAGUUGCUGCAGUCAAAAAGCUCGUAGUUGGAUCUGGGGCUUGAGGUCGCUGUCUAUCGUUUCGGCGAUGACGGUGAUGCUCAGCUCUGCUUGCCGGUGACUGUUGCGGUGUUCUUCACUGAGCGCUGUAGCAGCACGGCACGUUUACUUUGAAAAAAUUAGAGUGCUCAAAGCGUGCUUGUCGCUUGAAUAAUGUUGCAUGGAAUAAUGGAAUAGGACCUCGGUUCUAUUUUGUUGGUUUUCGGAGCUUGAGGUAAUGAUUAAGAGGGACGAACGGGGGCAUUCGUAUUGCGGUGUUAGAGGUGAAAUUCUUGGAUCGCCGCAAGACGGACUACUGCGAAAGCAUUUGCCAAGAACGCUUUCAUUAAUUAAGAACGAAAGUCAGAGGUUCGAAGACGAUCAGACACCGUCCUAGUUCUGACCAUAAACGAUGCCGACCAGCGAUCCGUUGGUUGCUUUAUGGACCCUACGGGCAGCCUCCGGGAAACCAAAGUAUUUGGGUUCCGGGGGAAGUAUGGUUGCAAAGCUGAAACUUAAAGGAAUUGACGGAAGGGCACACCAGGAGUGGAGCCUGCGGCUUAAUUUGACCCAACACGGGAAAACUCACCCGGUCCGGACACCGUAAGGAUUGACAGACUGAUAGCUCUUUCUUGAUUCGGUGGAUGGUGGUGCAUGGCCGUUCUUAGUUGGUGGAGUGAUUUGUCUGGUUAAUUCCGAUAACGAACGAGACUCUAGCCUGCUAAGUAGUGUUGCUAUUGUUAUAUGGUUGACACUUCUUAGAGGGACAAGUGGCAUUUAGCCACGCGAAUUUGAGCAAUAACAGGUCUGUGAUGCCCUUAGAUGUCCGGGGCCGCACGCGCGCUACACUGGAGAAGUCAGCGUGUGUUAUCCAAGUCCGAAAGGACUGGGUAAUCCGUUGAACCUUCUUCGUGCUUGGGACUGUGGCUUGGAACUAUUCCACAUGAACGAGGAAUUCCUAGUAAUUGCAAGUCAUAAGCUUGCGUUGAUUACGUCCCUGCCCUUUGUACACACCGCCCGUCGCUACUACCGAUUGAAUGGUUUAGCAAGGUCCUCGGAUCGUGGCCGUAGGGGCACGCAAGUGUUUCUGCGGUUUGCGAGAAGACGACCAAACUUGGUCAUUUAGAGGAAGUAAAAGUCGUAACAAGGUU
rnacentral:rRNA from 1 species